CAAUAGCGUAUAUUAAAGUUGUUGCAGUUAAAAAGCUCGUAGUUGGAUUUCGGGUGGGACGCAGCGGUCUCGCAUUGCGUUUGUACUGCUGCAGCCCUCCUUCUUGCCGGGGGCGGCCUCUCGGACUUCACUGUCUGGGGGUCAGAAUCGGCGAUGUUACUUUGAGUAAAUUAGAGUGUUCAAAGCAAGCUUACGCUCUGAAUAUAAUAGCAUGGGAUAACACGACAGGACUCUGGCCUAUCGUGUUGGUCUAUAGGACCAGAGUAAUGAUUAAGAGGGACAGUCGGGGGCAUUCGUAUUCCGUUGUCAGAGGUGAAAUUCUUGGAUUUACGGAAGACGAACAUCUGCGAAAGCAUUUGCCAAGGAUGUUUNCAUUG
rnacentral:rRNA from 1 species